AUGAUGAAAUUGUUCUCCCUUUGUUUCGUUUUCAUGAUAGUGUCUUGUCUUGUAUCCCCCGCAAGAGGACUUAAGAAGCAUAACCGAGUUUACAAGGCCAAACUUCUGGAUGAAAUAAUGGCUGCCUUGCAGGACAAACACGGAAUUCCAAGGUUCUCUACAAGAGUUCAAAGCUGGAAAGCUAGAGCCUUUCAUAAACUUGAACCGAUCGGCUUUAAGCGAAGUUCCCACUGAAGAUUUGGAGAGGCUACGUAAAAACAAAGGAACUUUUGAGAGAAACUUGCUUAAAUAAACUAGAACAUGCAUAUUC